UAUUUGAUCCUUGGCUAAGCUAUAUGAAAACAUGGUUAGGCCUAAUAAUAAUAAUAAUAAAAGAAAGCAUGGUUAGGAACAUUUGUUGUAUGUUUCUAUUUCCUUUUCAGUGAAAAAGGGAAUUGUCUGUUAGUCUUUGGGAUUAAUGUAGCCAUCCCUUAAGCCUUCAGUAUUGUCUGUGCUCAGUGAUAACAGAGCAAAUGACCCAAAUAAAGCCUGUAAUAUUAGUGAAAGCCACAGAAAAAGUCUAGACUUUGCUACUGUUGCCCGGAAUUAGAUGCACGGAGGAAGAAUAUUUUAUACCUCCCUCUAUCAAUCACUAUUCCUUGUAGGCUUUUUAUGACGUGGUAGCAGCGUAUGUUCCGCUUGUUAUUCCGGCAGAUAUUCCCAUUGGCUACCUGACUGAAAACCCCUUCCAAUUUUAAACACCACAAGGCUAUUUCCAACUUCAAUGCAUGACCUGGUAGGUAUUAGGACUUGUCUCCAUUAUAACUAGAAAUAAAAUAAAGUGAGGAUGAUGCUGUAAUCAAGAUUAUCUCCGCCUUGUAAA
rnacentral:lncRNA from 1 species